rnacentral:rRNA from 1 species
UCUUAUGUACAGGCCUAAAGGGUUGAAGUAGUGGAUCCCAUUAGAACUUUGUAAUUAAGUGUGAUUGGGCUUGAGUAGUACUGGGAUGGGUGACCUCCCGAGAAGUCCUAGUGUUUUACAUGCU